UUUGCCCUCCCUGCCCACUGCCCUAUUUAAGCAGCCCCAGGACAGGCAGCAGCCCCAAGCUUGCCCAACUGGGCAGAGGAUCCUCCUCCUGUCACCACAGCCUGGAGAAGCUGGAGGCAAAUCCUGAGUGCGGGAGGGAAGCACCGGAGUGAAACUGAAGCUGGGUUCCAGGCAAAGAGAGGAUGGAAAGGCAGGCACUGAGGAAGAGCUGGGAUAGAAGAUCAAAAGGUAGUCCCUGAGGAGCAGCUGGGAUUGAAUUGGCAAUAAAAGCAAUGCCACCUA